UUGCGCCUCAGUGCCACGCUCUUGCGAAGAUCAUUUUCACACCGCCGCCAUUCACAGUACCACAAUGAGUCCUUUUAUAAUCCGGUACGGAUACGCAACAGGCUUUCUUUCGAGAUCAGCAGUGUGUAUAACAGGAUCGGCAUAUCGUUUUGAUAACUGCCGUUAUCUAAACGAAAGCUGUGGAAGAUCUCCCAGGAACAAAUUGCCGUCAUAAAGUGCAUGGCCAGACAAGUACGACAGCGUUGAUCGAGCAAACCAGGAAAUCGCCCAACACGAGGAGAAAAGUGGAAAAGGUUUUUUUUAUAACCGAAGCCCAUGGCGGUGUUACGAAUCGUUGUCGACUUGUGGACUUGGUUUUUAAAUUAAAGCUUAAACUGAUGGCAGCAAGAAGCCAAGAUGUACACAGCCGAAUUUCGAUGAAUGUAAAAAAAUUGAAAUAAAAUAGACUUCUGAUGCACUC